rnacentral:pre_miRNA from 1 species
GAUAUACUCCCUCCGUCUCAAAAUUCUUGUCUUAAAUUUGUCUAGAUACGGAUGUAUCAAAUACUAAAACGUGACUUGAUACAUUCGUAUCUAGACAAAUCUAAGACAAGAAUUUUGAGACGGAGGGAGUACUAG